AUUGAACGCUGGCGGCAGGCCUAACACAUGCAAGUCGAGCGGAUGACGGGAGCUUGCUCCUUGAUUCAGCGGCGGACGGGUGAGUAAUGCCUAGGAAUCUGCCUGGUAGUGGGGGACAACGUUUCGAAAGGAACGCUAAUACCGCAUACGUCCUACGGGAGAACGCAGGGGACCUUCGGGCCUUGCGCUAUCAGAUGAGCCUAGGUCGGAGUAGCUAGUUGGUGGGGUAAUGGCUCACCAAGGCGACGAUCCGUAACUGGUCUGAGAGGAUGAUCAGUCACACUGGAACUGAGACACGGUCCAGACUCCUACGGGAGGCAGCAGUGGGGAAUAUUGGACGAUGGGCGAAAGCCUGAUCCAGCCAUGCCGCGUGUGUGAAGAAGGUCUUCGGAUUGUAAAGCACUUUAAGUUGGGAGGAAGGGCAGUAAGCUAAUACCUUGCUGUUUUGACGUUACCGACAGAAUAAGCACCGGCUAACUCUGUGCCAGCCGCCGCAGUAAAAC
rnacentral:rRNA from 1 species